rnacentral:other from 1 species
UAACCCCUGCGAUGUUUGUGACAAAGGCCGACAUGGGAAGAACCGAUAAAGUUCCCCCGGGAAGCCAGGCCGGAUUGGACCGAGCAUGCCUGCUUGACAGGACACUCGGACAGCCGCAACGGUUGCCCACCUUGAGAUACGGGGUUUCUUUCCUGUGCCUGAUGCACGGCAUUUGUGGAGGCGUA